rnacentral:rRNA from 1 species
CGUAGGGGGCAAGCGUUGUCCGGAUUUAUUGGGCGUAAAGAGCGUGUAGGCGGCUAGGUAGGUCCGUUGUGAAAACUCGAGGCUCAACCUCGAGACGCCGGUGGAAACCAUCUAGCUAGAGUCCGGAAGAGGAGAGUGGAAUUCCUGGUGUAGCGGUGAAAUGCGCAGAUAUCAGGAAGAACACCCGUGGCGAAGGCGGCUCUCUGGUACGUGACUGACGCUGAGACGCGAAAGCGUGGGGAGCGAACAGGAUUAGAUACCCUGGUAGUCCACGCCGUAAACGAUGGGUGCUAGGUGUGGGCGGUGUCGACUCCGUCCGUGCCGAAGCUAACGCAUUAAGCACCCCGCCUGGGGAGUACGGCCGCAAGGCUA